GCAGUCGAGGGGCAGCAUUACUUUUCGGAGUAGAUGGCGACCGGCGCACGGGUGCGAUAACGCGUAUGCAACCUACCCUUAACUGUAGGAUAGCCCGGAGAAAUCCGGAUUAAUACUACAUGGUACUAUAGUAUGGCAUCAUAUAAUAGUUAAAGAUUUAUUGGUUUAGGAUGGGCAUGCGUGACAUUAGCUAGUUGGUACGGUAACGGCGUACCAAGGCGACGAUGUCUAGGGGUUCUGAGAGGAAGAUCCCCCACACUGGUACUGAGACACGGACCAGACUCCUACGGGAGGCAGCAGUGAGGAAUAUUGGUCAAUGGGCGAGAGCCUGAACCAGCCAUGCCGCGUGCAGGAAGACGGCCUUCUGGGUUGUAAACUGCUUUUAUACGGGAGCAAAAAGGUCCUGCGGGACAAAUUGAGAGUAUCGUAUGAAUAAGCACCGGCUAACUCCGUGCCAGCAGCCGCGGUAAUACGGAGGGUGCAAGCGUUGUCCGGAUUUAUUGGGUUUAAAGGGUGCGUAGGCGGCGUAAUAAGUCAGUGGUGAAAGCCGGCAGCUCAACUGUCGAGGUGCCAUUGAAACUGUUAUGCUUGAGUACAGACGAGGUAGGCGGAAUUUAUGAUGUAGCGGUGAAAUGCAUAGAUAUCAUAAAGAACACCGAUAGCGAAGGCAGCUUACUAGGCUGUAACUGACGCUGAGGCACGAAAGCGUGGGGAGCGAACAGGAUUAGAUACCCUGGUAGUCCACGCUGUAAACGAUGAUGACUCGAUGUUGGCGAUAUUACAGUCAGCGGUCCUAACCGAAAGC
rnacentral:rRNA from 1 species